rnacentral:misc_RNA from 1 species
GUAGGUGAACCUGCGGAAGGAUCAUUAGAGAGCCUCCGGGCAUUAUGGAUCAGAGACAUGUGAACCGCUCGGCUCGCCUCCGGGCCUGCCUUGCCGCCCUCGGGCUUCAAACUCGGUGUGACGAACGUAAUCAUGGGAAUAAACACAACUUUCAACAAUGGAUCUCUUGGCUCUC